AACGAACGCUGGCGGCAUGCCUAACACAUGCAAGUCGAACGAAGCCUUCGGGCUUAGUGGCGCACGGGUGCGUAACGCGUGGGAAUCUGCCCUUUGGUUCGGAAUAACAGUUGGAAACGACUGCUAAUACCGGAUGAUGACGAAAGUCCAAAGAUUUAUCGCCAGAGGAUGAGCCCGCGUAGGAUUAGCUAGUUGGUGUGGUAAAGGCGCACCAAGGCGACGAUCCUUAGCUGGUCUGAGAGGAUGAUCAGCCACACGGGGACUGAGACACGGCCCAGACUCCUAUGGGAGGCAGCAGUGGGGAAUAUUGGACAAUGGGCGAAAGCCUGAUCCAGCAAUGCCGCGUGAGUGAUGAAGGCCCUAGGGUUGUAAAGCUCUUUUACCCGGGAUGAUAAUGACAGUACCGGGAGAAUAAGCCCCGGCUAACUCCGUGCCAGCCGCCGCCGUAA
rnacentral:rRNA from 1 species